AUGCGCAGUAGCAGCAGCACCCAGCCAGCACCCUCUGCAGCUGCAAACCAGUCACACUUCCACCCACCGGUCACACUGCAGCAGGGGAUCGAGGGCCAACGAGGAGAAGUAGAUUCCCGCCCGGCAGAGGGGCAGAAUGGGGGCAGGAGAGUUAGCAAAGGUGACAUCUUCUCGGGGGGAGCCGAGACUGAACAAGGCUGGGGGGCUGUGGGCCCAUCCCAGGCAGAAAGGGCAUGAGGGUAGGGAGGGAGCACAGAGGGAGCCAGCGAGGAGUCCAGCAGGUGGGGCGGUACCCCAGCCCGGGGUCAGACAGAAAUGAAGCAGGGGACACAGGACAGAGGGGUCCCCAGCUGCCGCACUCACCCACUGUAAUUCAUUUAGUAGAAGGCACAGGGGCAGCUCUGGCAGGGCCCUCUCAGGCCAAUGCCGGAGCCUCGAGGGCUGGAGAGAGAGCGGGAAGGCAGGCAGUGCUCAGGGAGCAGCAGCAGGAUGUCACCAGGAGGGCAAAGCGGCCGUGGGAGGGGGUCCCGGGACAUUGCGCAGCGAGGAGGCUGCAGGGGCCCCGCCCGCGGGCGCCGUUCCCACGAGGCACUGCGGCCCAGGGUCUGGUGCGGAGAGGGCUCACAGUGGACUUGGUGACGCUGUAUGCCCUCACCGCCCAGCCCCUGGGACUGGCUUGACAGACAGUUCAGCAUCCAGGGGAGUCAAGGGCACGGGGCGAGACCAGACUAGGCGAGGCGGGCGGGGGGGAGUGAAUGAGUGUUCUCAGGAGGGAGGCGGGCACAGGCAGGGCGAGGAGCAGAGCAGGCGGCGGUCCUGGGGCACUGGCCUCCAGAGCCCGUGGCCAAGGCGGGCCUCGCGGGCGGCGAUGGAGCAGGGAUCGGUGCCUCGGCGUUCGGGCUGGAGACAAGGCCAGGUCUCCAGCUGGGGUGGACGAGCCCACCAGCCACCGAAGGCCAGGACGCCAGGUCCGGCGGACGUGCGGAGAGGGACAUGACAUGGUCCGGAGUGACGGCGAGGACAGAGGAGGCGCGUCCGGCCUUCCUGGACAUCUUCAGCUGGCGGAGCAGGCUGCGGCAAGAGGCGGGUCUCUUCCUUGACUUCCCCGACGGGGUCGGCACACUACUGCCGGUCUUUGGAUUCCCAGAACCCACACAAUGCAAGAAAUGGUGCUACCCAGCUCACGCCUGGGCCUUUGAAUCCGGAAACGUCUGCAAGUACCUCUCACUGAUAACAGGAAUACUGCACUUUAAACCACUGCACACCCUCACUCAGGAAUCGGCCCCAGAAGGUGAAGCUGAAGGAACGAGACCUCAUCAACCCAACACCAAAGACGCCAUCGGAACAGCGGCGCCCGCAGCACCCACCCCCCGCCAGCGACUCCAUCUUCGUGGCCACCCCCUGCCGUGGACAGUUGACCACCAGCCACUACGUCAUCCCAGCGCUGAGCUCCUCCAGCGGGAUGACCCCGUCCCACCACCUCCCUCUUCUUUUUCUUCAUCCUCCUAUCUCUUUGCUUCGACCUUUCCUGUCUUUCUUCCUGAGAGACUCGAAGCCUCCCAGCUCCGUCCCCCGCCCCUUCUGAAUUCAUUUGCACUAAGUCGUUUGCACUGGUUGGAGCUGUGUAGACGGCCUUGAGUCUCCGUGUGAGUGUGUGUGUGAGUGAGAGCCACCUUGGCAAGUGCCCGCCCGGGGCCCAGGCGCCCUCCAACUGGGCCGGGGGACCGGGUGCGGGUCGUGUGCCUGAGGCCUCGCCCACCCUCACCGAGUCUGGAGCAUUUCAUUACGCCCUAUCUCGCUCCGUGCCCCUCCCUACCAGGGCUUCAGCAGGAGCCCUGGACUCAUUAUCAAUAAACUCUGUUACAUCAA